rnacentral:misc_RNA from 1 species
GAUGAAGAACGUAGCGAAAUGCGAUAAGUAAUGUGAAUUGCAGAAUUCAGUGAAUCAUCGAAUCUCUGAACGCACCUUGCACCCUUUGGCAUUCCGAAGGGUAUGCUCGUUUGAGUGUCAUUGUACUCUCACUCUCCCGAUGCUUUUGGAUCGGGAGUGGUGGACUUGGGUGUUGCUGCUUUGCUGUGGCUCGCCUCAAAUGGAGUAGUGCAACUCUUGGUUGGACAUAGUACGGCGUGAUAAGUGUCUUCGCCGGCGCCUCAUUAUAGAGGGUGGCCGAUCGGGAGCUCUGUGCUUCAAACCGUCUUCGGACAACAUCUGACAACUUGACCUCAAAUCGAGUAGGACUACCCGCUGAACUUAAGCAUAUCAAUAAGCGGAGGA